rnacentral:rRNA from 1 species
CCUGGUUGAUCCUGCCAGUAACAUAUGUUUGUCUCAAAGAGUAAGCCAUGCGUGUGUAAGUAUACAGUGAAACUGCAAAUGACUCAUUUAAUCAGUUAUGGUUCCUUUGAUCGCGCCAUCUGUUACUUGGAGAACUGUGGUAAUUCUAGAGCUAAUACAUGCCAAUGAUGCGAACCUCCUGGGAUGCAUGCAUUUAUCAGACAACAACCAAUCUGAGCUCGCCAGGCUGCUUUGGUGACUCUUGAUAACUUUGGGCCAAUUACACAUUCCUGUGAUGAUGACGAUACAUUCGGAUGAUUGCCCUAUCAACUUUCAAUGUACUGUCUAUGCCUACCAUGUUAACCUCGGGUAAGGGGGAAUCGGGGUUCGAUUCUGUAGAUGGAGCCUGAGAAAUGGCUACCACAUCCAAGGAAGGCAGCAGGUGUGCAAAUUACCCACUUCAGAAUUGGUUAGGUAGUGAUAAAAAAUAAUAAUACAGGACUCUAUCGAGACCCCAUAAUUGGAAUGAGUAAACUUUAAAUCCUUUAACGAGGAUCCAUUGGAGUUAAAUUCUGGUGUCAGAAGCCAUGGUAAUCCCAGCUCCAAUAGCAUAUAUUAAAAUUGCUGUAGUUAAAAAGCUCUUAGUUGAAUCUUGGAAUCAAACUGGCACUCUGCCGUGUCACAAGAUACCGCCUGUCCCAGCCCAUGCCUCUCUGCACCCCCAUGAUGCUCUUGACUGAGUGUACUGGGGUCCAAAGUAUUUACUUUGAAAAAAUUACCUGAAUACGUCAGCUAGGAAUAAAGGAAUAGGACUUUGGUUAUAUUUUGUUGGUUUUUAGAACUGCGCCAAUGAUUAAGAGGGGCAGCUGGGGCAUUUGUAUUGUGCCACUAGAGGUGCAAUUCUUGGACUGGAGCAAAACGAAUCAAAGCAAAAGCAUUUGCCGAGAAUGUUUUCAUUAAUCAAGAACGAAAGUUGAAAGGAUUGAAGAUGAUAGGAUACCGUUGUAGUGCCGACCAUAAACAAUGCUGUCUAGCGAUCCUGCAGUGUUAUUCUCAUGACCCGCCAAGCAGCUCUGAGGAAACCAGACUUUGGAUUCUGGGGGUAGUAUGGUUGUUGAAACUUCAAGGAAUUGUUGGAAGGGUGCCACAAGGAGUGGAGCCUGUGGCUUAAUUUGACUCAACACAGGAAACCUCACCCGGGGCGGAAACGGAAAGGAUUGACUGAUUGAUAACUCUUUCACAUUUCUGUGGGUGGUGGUGCAUGAUCGUUGUUAGUUGGUGGAGUGGUUUGUCUGGUUAAUUCUGAUAACGAAUGAGACUCCUCCAUGCUAACUAGUUACACAACCCCUAGCGGCGGCGGUCAACUUCUAAGAGGGACAAGUGGUGUUCAGCCACUCAAGAUCAAGCAAUAACCACUCUGUGAAGCCCUUAGAUGUCCGGGGCUGCACAUGCUCUACACUGAAUGGAUCAGCGGGUGUCUACCCUUCUCCAACAGGUUCAGGAAACCCACUGAAAUAAGUUCAUUAUAGGGAUUAAGGAUCACAAUUAUUUCCCAUGAAUGCGGAAUUCCCGGUAAGUGGAAGUCAUAAGCUCAUGUAGAUUAAGUCCCUACAGUUUAUACACACCGCCACGAUGGUUUAGUGAGGUUCUCAGAUUUGCCAUGCUGGGGCGGGCAAGAGCCCUGGUGGAGCGCUGAGAAUAUGAUGAAACUUGACUAUCUAGAGGAAGUAAAGGUCGUAAUAAGGAUUCCGUAGGUGAUCCUGCAAAAG